rnacentral:rRNA from 1 species
GACGAACGCUGGCGGCGUGCCUAAUACAUGCAAGUUGAGCGCUGAAGGUUGGUACUUGUACCAACUGGAUGAGCAGCGAACGGGUGAGUAACGCGUGGGGAAUCUGCCUUUGAGCGGGGGACAACAUUUGGAAACGAAUGCUAAUACCGCAUAAAAACUUUAAACACAAGUUUUAAGUUUGAAAGAUGCAAUUGCAUCACUCAAAGAUGAUCCCGCGUUGUAUUAGCUAGUUGGUGAGGUAAAGGCUCACCAAGGCGAUGAUACAUAGCCGACCUGAGAGGGUGAUCGGCCACAUUGGGACUGAGACACGGCCCAAACUCCUACGGGAGGCAGCAGUAGGGAAUCUUCGGCAAUGGACGAAAGUCUGACCGAGCAACGCCGCGUGAGUGAAGAAGGUUGUCGGAUCGUAAAACUCUGUUGGUAGAGAAGAACGUCGGUGAGAGUGGAAAGCUCAUCAAGUGACGGUAACUACCCAGAAAGGGACGGCUAACUACGUG